ACACCCCCUCACGCCCGUGUGAUUCCCGCAGGUCUGUGUGAACGGCAAACACACCCUGAUUUACGACCGCGCCGCCGACAUGAAGAUCGACACCAUCAAUAUUUACGGGCAAGUUCAGAUCAACAGCUUGAAAGUUUUUGAUCUGCGCUGUGCUUAGAGGUGCGGCGGCCCAGCAGGUGACAGAUGCUCCUUGUCCGGGCAAUUAUUGCCCCGUCUACGGGCGACACAAGACGCCCCCAUUAUCCCAAUAAACUGGCGCCUGAAUUUAA